UAUCUAUAAUGUGACACUGAUUUAACAAAUCUUUUAAACUCUCCCCAAACCUAAUAGAAAGUUUAACGGUCUUUCUGGUUGAAGAUAGACAUUUGUCUUUUAAGACU